rnacentral:tRNA from 1 species
ACAAUAGCUCAGUUGGUAGAGCGGCGGCUUCCCAAGCCGCAGGUCGCGGGUUCGAGUCCCGUUUGUC